rnacentral:rRNA from 1 species
CGGAACGUGCCCGAGAGUGGGGGAUAACGGAGCGAAAGCUUUGCUAAUACCGCAUACGAUCUACGGAUGAAAGCAGGGGACCGCAAGGCCUUGCGCUCAUGGAGCGGCCGAUGGCAGAUUAGGUAGUUGGUGGGAUAAAAGCUUACCAAGCCGACGAUCUGUAGCUGGUCUGAGAGGACGACCAGCCACACUGGGACUGAGACACGGCCCAGACUCCUACGGGAGGCAGCAGUGGGGAAUUUUGGACAAUGGGCGCAAGCCUGAUCCAGCCAUGCCGCGUGCAGGAUGAAGGCCUUCGGGUUGUAAACUGCUUUUGUACGGAACGAAAAGCCUCGGGCUAAUAUCCUGGGGUCAUGACGGUACCGUAAGAAUAAGCACCGGCUAACUACGUGCCAGCAGCCGCGGUAAUACGUAGGGUGCAAGCGUUAAUCGGAAUUACUGGGCGUAAAGCGUGCGCAGGCGGUAAUGUAAGACAGAUGUGAAAUCCCCGGGCUCAACCUGGGAACUGCAUUUGUGACUGCAUUGCUGGAGUACGGCAGAGGGGGAUGGAAUUCCGCGU